GACGAACGCUGGCGGCGUGCUUAACACAUGCAAGUCGUACGGUAAGGCCCUUUCGGGGGUACACGAGUGGCGAACGGGUGAGUAACACGUGAGUAACCUGCCCACAACUUUGGGAUAACGCUAGGAAACUGGUGCUAAUACUGGAUAUGUGCUCCCGCUGCAUGGUGGGGGUUGGAAAGCUCCGGCGGUUGUGGAUGGACUCGCGGCCUAUCAGCUUGUUGGUGGGGUAGUGGCCUACCAAGGCGGCGACGGGUAGCCGGCCUGAGAGGGUGACCGGCCACAUUGGGACUGAGAUACGGCCCAGACUCCUACGGGAGGCAGCAGUGGGGAAUAUUGCACAAUGGGCGCAAGCCUGAUGCAGCAACGCCGCGUGCGGGAUGACGGCCUUCGGGUUGUAAACCGCUUUCAGCAGGGACGAAGCUUUUUGUGACGGUACCUGCAGAAGAAGCACCGGCUAACUACGUG
rnacentral:rRNA from 1 species